AGGACGAACGCUGGCGGCGUGCCUAAUACAUGCAAGUCGAACGGCUUUUCUAUGGAAGCUUGCUUCCACUGAGAAGAUAGUGGCGAACGGGUGAGUAACACGUGGGUAACCUGCCCAUAAGAGGGGGAUAACAUCCGGAAACGGGUGCUAAUACCGCAUAGUUUUCUUGAUCGCAUGAUCGGGAAAGGAAAGACGGCCUUUGUGCUGUCGCUUAUGGAUGGACCCGCGGCGUAUUAGUUAGUUGGUGAGGUAAUGGCUCACCAAGACGAUGAUACGUAGCCGACCUGAGAGGGUGAUCGGCCACAUUGGGACUGAGACACGGCCCAAACUCCUACGGGAGGCAGCAGUAGGGAAUCUUCCGCAAUGGACGAAAGUCUGACGGAGCAACGCCGCGUGAGUGAAGAAAAGGUUUUCGGAUCGUAAAACUCUGUUGUCAGAGAAGAACAAGUUGGAGAGUAACUGCUCCAGCCUUGGCGGUAUCUGACCAGAAAGCCACGGCUAACUACGUGCCAGCCGCUGC
rnacentral:rRNA from 1 species